rnacentral:rRNA from 1 species
GACGUAGGGUGCAAGCGUUGUCCGGAUUUAUUGGGCGUAAAGAGCUCGUAGGCGGCUUGUUGCGUCGACUGUGAAAACCCGCGGCUUAACCGCGGGCUUGCAGUUGAUACGGGCAGGCUAGAGUUCGGUAGGGGAGACUGGAAUUCCUGGUGUAGCGGUGAAAUGCGCAGAUAUCAGGAGGAACCCCGGUGGCGAAGGCGGGUCUCUGGGCCGAUACUGACGCUGAGGAGCGAAAGCGUGGGGAGCGAACAGG